UACGGAGGGUGCAAGCGUUGUCCGGAGUUACUGGGCGUAAAGAGCGUGUAGGCGGUUGAAAAAGUCAGGUGUGAAAUUCUUCGGCUCAACCGGGGGACUGCGCCUGAAACUUUUCGACUGGAGUUCGGGAGGGGCGACUGGAAUUCCUGGUGUAACGGGGAAAUGUGUAGAUAUCAGGAGGAACACCCGUGGCGAAGGCGGGUUGCUGGACCGAAGCUGCCGCUGAGACGCGAAAGCGUGGGUAGCAAACAGGAUUAGAUACCCUGGUAGUCCACGCUGUAAACGAUGAGUGCUAGGUGUAGGGGGUAUCGACUCCUUCUGUGCCGCAGCUAACGCAUUAAGCACUCCGCCUGGGGAGUACGGUCGCAAGAUUAAA
rnacentral:rRNA from 1 species